GCAACAGCGCAUCCGCACACCGUCGCUCUUCUCCAUGGUUUGCCCACCCUCGUGGUUCAUGGUCUUCAUCCUGAUGUCCUUGCACGUACAGUCGUCGCGCGUGGCCUGGAGCCUGUCCGGUUAGCCGUAGGACCCUGCGCUUCCACUACUCCUCUUCCAGCGAGCGCCUCCAUCUCGCCUGCUGAUGCUGCAGCCGGUGGUCGUAAUGUUCCUCCCUCCACGAGCCUACAUGCCGACGAUCCCUGCACGAGCACGCUGUCGAGUACUACUUGGGCCAGGAGAUCCAAAGACAGCGGCCUCCAUGACUUUAGCAUGGUAGAGUCUGCACGCUGGACAGAGGGAGCUAUUGGUGUUGAAAUUUGAAACGCUCCAAUGAAAAUUUGAUGGCACCAACGCUCUCCAACGCAACUUCGAUACAUCAAGGCCAUAAAGGGGUGCCUCCUAGAACAUGUCAUUUUUGUUAUUAAUCUGUAUAUAACUAUAUUUAUUAUUUUGAGGUGAAAAACUUCUGAGGAUGCUUUCAGGUAUUUAAAGGUAAGGAUUCAGCUCCUGAUUAUACUUUCA